AAUGCUAGCAUUUUCAGCUGGUUGUGGUUCUAGAGUUUGGGAAAGUGACAUAAUCUGACCCUUUUAUGAUCUUGCCCCUUGUUUUUAGUCCUAACUGGUUUCGUCAACCAGUUGACGGAUGUUGUGGGUUGUGAAGGUUGGCCUAGCCAAACCUGUUAGCAUGUCUCGACCCGGUUCCAGUCAUAGUCUACUAACAAGUUGAUCAAUCUAGUGGGCUAUCGAGAAAUUUGAAAUAACAUGACCAGGUUAUGAAACAAGUUAGCAUGUGUUGUUGACUUGUUUAUGACCCUAACCUGUUUAGUUAAUGGGUUGAUGGUUAGUUGGGAAAGGCGCAUGUUGGACCGUUGGGACUCGUUUUUGACCUUACCUAGUUUAGUCUCAAAACGAUAAGCUGUAUAUUUGGCUGGUUUAAAAGUAUCCACAAUGCUAGCAUAUACUGAUGCAAGUUGGGAGAGGCAGCCUAGCUUCUGACCCGUUACGAGACGUGUCUCGGACAGUUUGGACCCGUUUUUGACCUUAUUCAAUCUAGUCCCAAAACGAUAAUUCGUUUAUCUGUUUGGUUAAAAGUAUCCGUAAUGCUAGUAUUUCCAGCCAGUAGUGGUUCCAGAGUUGGAAAAGUGACAUAACCUGACCCAUUUAUGAUAUUGGCCCUUUCUUUUUGGUCCUAAAUGUUUGGUCAAUAGAUUGACGGAUAUUGUGGGUUGUGAUGGUUGACGUAGCCAAACCUGGUAGCAUGUGUCGACCAAGUUUUGAUCAUAGUCUAGUAACUCAUUGUUUUAGUGGGCUAUUGAGACAUCUUAAAUAACAUGACCCGGUUACGAAACAAGUUAGCAUGUGUUGUUGACUUGUUUAUGAACCUAACCUGUUUAGUCAAUGGGGUUGAUGGCCAGUUGUGAAUGGCAGCCUGUCCUCUGACCAUUACGAGACGUGGACCGUUUGGACUCUUUUUUGACGCUAUCCAGUUUUGUCCCAAAACGUUUAUUUCAUGGCCAGUUGUGAAUUGAUUCCGGUUUGUUUUCCCACAAGAGCAUUGAUCAUUGCCAUUUAUAUUGAAAAGCCAUCAAUAACAGCCACCUGAUGUGCAAUACAGCUGUCACUUAUAGAUUUGAUGCCUUUUGAUAGUUGGUUUGUUUUUUUGAUAUAAAAUGGCGAUCCUGGACACGUGUUUUUCAUGUGUUUAUCUGUUUUGGGCAUCCCCUGAAAUUAUGCAGUUCAUUGUAUUUUCUUUGUUGGAAUUUGUUUGUUUUUUAUAUCCACGGGCCACAGAUAAAUAUAUCUUAAGAUGUAAUCAAUCCUUUUGUUUUACAGUAUGCUUUAAGGUGUAGAAAUGAUGGAUCCUUUCUGUCAGAGAAACUGAUAUGUUUAUCACCAUGGUCCAUGGCAACUACAUUGGUGAUUUACCAUAUCCAUGUCAACCCAAUGGUAUGGUAGCUGAUCCAUGGUAACCACAUUGGAAUAUGAUAUUGUAGCAUGGAGGAUAUUCCGAUGUAUAUUGUGGAAGUAUACACAAAUAUGUCAAUGACUCUGUGUUUUGCCUACAGAUGUUACCUGUUUGGUCCAUCAAGUAUUUUUCGCCUAUCUAGUAUCACUUGAAAGAAAAGUAGGUGGUGUUCUUUCUUUUCCUGCUUAUGCUCGUCCACGAUAUGAAGGAAAUGAAGUUUAUAGAAAGAUGAAAUUGAUUCAAUCUAUUAGAAACUGAAUUCAAACGAUGGCCUCGGAAAAGUUUUAAGUUCCGUUCUAGCAAACCAAAUUGAGUUCAAAUUAGAGAGCAGACCUUGAGAGGCUGCCUACUCUUGUCGCGCCAGCAAGCCAAAGUAUCCAGGAUGUUUGGGAGUAGUCCAGGAAUAAAAGAUAUGUGCAACUGAUUUCAUUUCUGGGUCGUCAAUAUAUAAAAAAGCUAUCACGCAAUCUUAUGCACAGUUGCUUGAGACUUAUGGAAGGCUAGAAAUAACAAGAUUUUCAAUCACAGAGUUGCAAUUUUUGCCGGUUAUUGGUGAGAUCAAAGUAUCAAGUUUUGUUUGGGUUAAAAAUAUGGGAAAGAUGGAAAAACUUCCACCUAGCCAAUUUGUCGAUAUAACUUCAGUUUAGUUUAUGCUCUGGUGUCUGCUGUUUCAAUAUAGAUACUCUUGUACCAGUAACUUGCUUGUACUGUAAUAAACACAUUUUGCCCAAAAAAAAUAAAAAAAGUAUGUGAUUGGACA